rnacentral:rRNA from 1 species
AUUGAACGCUGGCGGCAGGCCUAACACAUGCAAGUCGAACGAGUGGCGGACGGGUGAGUAAUGUGUGGGCAAGUGCCUGAUGGAGGGGUAUAACUACUGGAAACGGUAGCUAACACCGCAAACUACCAGUUGUGCCCAGAUGGGAUUAGCUUGUUGGGGGGGUAACGGGUCACCAAGGCGUCGAUCCCUAGCUGGUCUGAGAGGAUGACCAGCCACACUGGAACUGAGACACGGUCCAGACUCCUACGGGAGGCAGCAGUGGGGAAUAUUGGACAAUGGGCGCAAGCCUGAGGCAGCCAUGCCGCGUGUGUGAAGAAGGCCUUCGGGUUGUAAAGUACUUUCAGCGGGGAGGCGUUACCCGCAGAAGAAGCACCGGCUAACUCCGUGCCAGCAGCCGCGGUAAUAC